UAGUCAUAUGCUUGUCUCAAAGAUUAAGCCAUGCAUGUCUAAGCACAUGCCUUAAUACGGUGAAGCCGCGAAUAGCUCAUUACAACAGCCAUCGUUUAUUAGAAUAUCGUUAUCCUACUUGGAUAACUGUGGCAAUUCUAGAGCUAAUACAUGCAAUAAAGCUCCGACCUAACGGGACGAGCGCAUUUAUUAGAAUAAAAACCAAUCGAGUUUCGGCUCGUAAUUUGGUGAAUCUGAAUAACUUUGCCAAUCGCACAGUCCUAGUACUGGCGAUGUAUCUUUCAAGUGUCUGCCUUAUCAACUUUCGAUGGUACGCUAUACGCCUACCAUGGUAGUAACGGGUAACGGAGAAUAAGGGUUCGACUCCGGAGAGGGAGCCUGAGAAACGGCUACCACAUCCAAGGAAGGCAGCAGGCGCGCAAAUUACCCACUUCCAGAACGGAGAGGUAGUGACGAAAAAUAACGAGACAGUCCUCUUCGAGGUCUGUCAUCGGAAUGGGUACAAUUUAAAUCCUUUAACGAGGAUCUAUU
rnacentral:rRNA from 1 species